ACACGAUUAAUUAUUCUUUUUGUGAAUCAAAAAUAUAAAAAAAAAAUAAUUUUCUUCUUUAGUUUUUAAAAAAAAGAAAUUUAAUGUACAGUACUGAAAAGGAACAAUUAAUUAUAAAAAAAGUAUUGUUAGUACCUUUUGCAUCAUGGUUUAUAGAAAAUUUAACAUAUAGUCAAUUCCCGAAUUAGAAAGAUCUAAGCACAUGUAAUAGUUUAUGUUUCAUAAUGAUUAUUAACUUGUAUUUAGAGGCUAUAAGUCAAUCGGUUUCUAAGAUAUCUGGUUCUUUUGGAAAUAAAUUUAAUUUAGAAAAUUAAUUAGUAAAAGGUUUUACCUAACUAUUAUUUAAUUUAAUUUUUAGAGAGAAAGUUUCUAAAACAGUUAUAUCAAUAGAAUUAUUAUUAUCAAAUAAAUAAUAACUAAUUUGAAUUUAUUUUUAUUGAUUAAAUUAAAACAAAAGAAAUAGAAGAAAUAAGGUUAUCUAUAAUACAAUUAUAGAAUGAGUAGUUAAUAUAAAAUAUGGGUUAGGAACUCGGCAAAAACUUUCUCUGUCUGUUUAACAAAAACAUAGCCUCUUUUUCAUAAUAUGAGGUAAGACCUGCUCACUGAAAUUUUUAAAGAGCCGCAGUACGCUAACUGUGCAAAGGUAGCAUAAUAAAUAGUACUUUAAUUGGGUACUGGAAUGAAUGGUUAAACAAGAGAAAUCCUUUCUCACUUGUAAAUAAUGAAUUUAAACUUUGAGUGAAAAUGCUCAAAUAUAAGUGAUAGACAAGAAGACCCUAUAGAUCUUAAUUUCUAAAACUUAUUUUAAGUGAACAGAAAUUUUGUUGGGGUAACAGGAAAAUAAGAAAAAUUUUUUCUUAGUCAAAUCUUAUUUAGAGAUUAUUGACCUUGAAAUUUAAAUCACAAGAUAAGUUACCUUAGGGAUAACAGCAUAAUGAAAAGUUAGGAGAGCUAAUCUUAAUUUGUGUUUAUGACCUCGAUGUUGAAUUAAGGUUACUUCGGGAAGUAGAAUGUUCGUGGAGUUAGUCUGUUCGACUAUUAAUACCUUACAUGAUUUGAGUUCAGACCGACGUAAGUCAGGUCAGUUUCUAUCUUCACUUUAAAAAAGGUGUGCCAGUACGAAAGGACAGUAAAACCAA
rnacentral:rRNA from 1 species